AGCGGCAACAGCUCAAAUUUGAAAUCUGGCCCUCGGGUCCGAAUUGUAAUUUGUAGAGGAUGAUUUUGGUGCGGUAUCUUCCGAGUUCCUUGGAACAGGACGCCUUAGAGGGUGAGAGCCCCGUACGGUUGAAUGCCUAGCCUCUGUAAAUCUCCUUCGACGAGUCGAGUAGUUUGGGAAUGCUGCUCUAAAUGGGAGGUAAAUUUCUUCUAAAGCUAAAUAUUGGCCAGAGACCGAUAGCGCACAAGUAGAGUGAUCGAAAGAUGAAAAGCACUUUGAAAAGAGGGUUAAAUAGCACGUGAAAUUGUUGAAAGGGAAGGAUUUGUGACCAGACUUUUUCUGGGCGGAUCAUCCGGGGUUCUCUCCGGUGCACUUUGCCCAGUAAAGGCCAGCAUCGAUUUUCGGCGGCGGAUAAAAGCAGUGGGAAUGUGGCUCCCUACGGGGAGUGUUAUAGCCCAUUGUAUAAUACGCUGCUGGGGAUCGAGGUACGCGCUUCUGCAAGGAUGCUGGCGUAAUGGUUAUCAAUCACCCGUCUUGAAACACGGACCAAGGAGUCGAACAUUUAUGCGAGUGUUUGGGUGUUAAACCCUCACGCGUAAUGAAAGUGAACGGAGGUGAGAGCCCGUACGGGUGCAUCAUCGACCGAUCCUGAAGUUUUCGGAUGGAUUUGAGUAAGAGCAUAACUGUUCGGACCCGAAAGAUGGUGAACUAUGCGUGGAUAGGGUGAAGCCAGAGGAAACUCUGGUGGAGGCUCGCAGCGGUUCUGACGUGCAAAUCGAUCGUCAAAUCUGCGCAUGGGGGCGAAAGACUAAUCGAACCAUCU
rnacentral:rRNA from 1 species